CCCAGCUGCUGUCCGCCCACUUUGGGGGCCGCAUCCCUUCGCUGUCCCCUCUCGUCCCCAGGGCUGGAUCCCCUGGGAAGUGCUGCAUCUGAAGCCACACGCUAGCCCCACGUUGCCUGCCUGGGGUUGAGGGUCAGAAGAUGCGCUCUCACCAGGCCUCAGUUUCCUCGUCUGUAAAAAGACUGGACGGGAGGAGGUUUUGGAGAUAAAGCUGAGCUGAUAAGUCGGGGAUUUGGCUGUUCUACCCAAAACUCCUGGACUGGGAGGCGGUGGUAGGCGCAGCUGAGUCAGCAGGGCUCAGGAGCCCCCCUCGCUGCACCCUCAUCUACAAUGUUCAAGCAGCCAAAGCCUGGAAACAGCCCAGCUGUCCUUAAAGGACAAGUGGAUGAAGUCAGCGUGGUCCCUCCACACAGUAGAAUAGUAUGCAGCCACAAAAAG